UUUCGAUAGCGUAAAAGUUAACUUAAAUUUGUACGGAGUUGGGACGAUUAGCUACGUUUGCCACUAGGGGCGCUGUUCCAACUGCUUACAAAUCAGAGUUAACUUUUAGGCUGUCGA
rnacentral:pre_miRNA from 9 species